rnacentral:rRNA from 1 species
UACGUAGGGGGCUAGCGUUGUCCGGAAUCAUUGGGCGUAAAGCGCGUGUAGGCGGUCAGGUAAGUCCGCUGUGAAAUCCCCGGGCUCAACCCGGGAACUGCGUCCGAUACUGGUUGGCUUGAAUCCGGGAGAGGGAUGCGGAAUUCCAGGUGUAGCGGUGAAAUGCGUAGAUAUCUGGAGGAACACCGGUGGCGAAGGCGGCAUCCUGGACCGGCAUUGACGCUGAGGCGCGAAAGCCAGGGGAGCAAACGGG